UAAAUUCUAAUUUAAAAAAGAAAAAAAGAAAAAGGAAAGAAAACAGAGAAAACCAAAAAGAAAAAAAGGAUAACUAAAGAAAAUAUAAAAUAUGAUUUCUUUCGGUUAUCCCUUUAAAGGACAAUUGUCAGAACAAAUUUUUCAAAACGAGAAAAUAAUUGAAUGAAAUAAAAUUGAGAGGAAGAGAAAAAAAAAGAAGAAAAGAAAAGAAAAGAAAAGAAAAGAAAAGAAAAGAAAAACUAAAGUGAAACAAUGGAUGAAUUGAAAUAAUGACGAUAAUGAAAAAAAAAAGAAAAGAGAAAAAAAAGAAAAAGAAAGGAGAGAGAAAGAAAAAGAAACGAAAAAAGAGAAGAAAGGGAGAAAAAAGAUAAAGAAAAAGAAAAAAGUAAUCAAGGAAGGGGAUAUAUGAGAGUUUUGUAUGUCGAGCGAUACUCGACAAUUUGUCCGAUCAGCUGAUCGACGUUGGAGCGAUGUACUGGUGCACAUCGUAAGUAGUAGGAGUAGUGGGGAUACGACAAGAGCGCCAACAAUUCUCAUCGUGGCGAAUAAUCGAAGCUAUUCUCAGUCACCUCCUACGCUUAGGGAAUCCAACGAACGAGACCAACAGUCCGGUUCCGAUGUUCCCGCGCGACGGUGGACGAUCGAGAGUGCUCCUCUCGAUCCGCCUACUGCAAGAAUCCAUCCUCUCUACUACUACCAAUACUACUAUUAUUACUACUACUACUACUACUAUUACUACUACUACUACUACUACUACUACUACCAAUCUUUUCCUCCUACUCUUCUUCUACUUCUACCUUUACCUCCAUCACUCCUACCUCUACCUUUUUAUUCUCCUCCUUCUCCUCCUCCACUUCUACGUCCACCUCCACCUCCACCUCCUCCCCUCCAACCCACCCCCCCUCCCCUCUUUCUUCGUCGUCGUUUGUCGUUCUUCUUCUGUAACGUCGUCGAUGCGAACUCGUCGUUGAACGCGACUCCGCGUCUCGUUGUUACGAGCUCGCGAACGGGAAGUUGUAUAUUCGUUUGUGUUUCUCUUGUUUCGAGUGAUCCAAAAUAAAUAUAUAGAUAUAUAAGAAGAAAAAGAAGAGGAGAAGGAGGAGGAGGAGGAGGAGGAAAUGGUAGUAGUGGAGGAGAAGGAAAAGAAGAAAAAAGAAAAAGAAAAUAGGCACAUAUAGAUAAAUAAAAGAAAAAAAGAAAUCUAGUUUAUUAUAUUUUCAGUGUAAAAGUGAGAUUGGAGGUCAGCGAUAAUUCAAGUUGUUGUUGUUGUUGUUGUUGUUGUUGUUGGUUGUUGUUUCGUGAUUACUUAAAUGUUUAUUAAUCGUUUAACAGAUGACUUGUUUUAAUUAACGAUCGUUGGAUCCAUUUGCUCGUGUAUCGUUUCUAUAAACAAAUAUAAAAUCCGUGACACGAAUUAAAAGAGGUAGAAAAAGAAAGAAAGAGAGAGAGAGAGAUAGAUAGAUAUAGAAAGAAAGAAAGAAAGAAAGAAAGA